AGUCCCGAAGUGCUUCACGUCAAAAUGCAAGUUUGAAAAGGAGCCCAAAAAGGCU
rnacentral:tRNA from 1 species